GCCUGGAUGGCUCAGUCGUGGUUGAGCAUCCGACUUCAGCUCAGGUCAUGAUCUCGCAGUUCGUGGGUUUGAGCCCCACGUCAGGCU
rnacentral:tRNA from 1 species